GGUGAGCAGACAGACCUUGUUGUUGUCGACGUCUCUGAACGACAGACAGAAAUAAUCUCUCUCCAGCAGAUUCACGUGUUCACAAACUUUCUCAAACAGAUGAAAACCACGAGAUCGUUUCUGGACCAGAAGAAGAAUUGUGCAGGUGAACAACGACCCGUCCAGCAGUGAAACUCUCGCCUGCAUCGUCCUGAAGCUCAGCGUGUUUCUGGCCGGAGAACGAGCCGAUAGGAGUGGAGUGGGCGGCAGCUUCAGGGAAAGACUCCGCCUCCUUAGCCUCCUGUGGCUCACCUGGCUCUGUCGUCAUGGUGAUUCAACUGAAAACAGUGACAACAUAGUUAUGAUGACCAAAGGAAUGACGUGAUUGGAACCUCCAGCUGUCAGGUGAUGGGUUGCCAUGGUGAUAUGGGGGAUUAAGACUGAGAGACAAUCUAAUGUAAUCUGGUUUGGAUUCAGACAGACAACAACAUGUCGACGACAACGACGAUGAUGAUGCAGGUCGGAGGUGGGAGGUCGUUAGUGCUGCUGUCAGCCCCCCCCCCCCCGCUGAUGUGUUCAUCAGUAAAGUCUCUGUUUUUAUUUUGUAUUUCUAUCUUAUUGUUAUUUUUAGCAGAACAAGCAGCUGUUCUUAUAUUUGUUUCUAUUCUAUUUGUUCCUGUAGAUUAAAGAAACACUUGAAUAUUAUUCAUAACUGAAUGAAAUAAU